rnacentral:misc_RNA from 1 species
GAUGAAGAACGCAGCGAAAUGCGAUAAGUAGUGUGAAUUGCAGAAUUCAGUGAAUCAUCGAAUCUUUGAACGCACAUUGCGCCCCUUGGUAUUCCAUGGGGCAUGCCUGUUCGAGCGUCAUUUGUACCUUCAAGCUUUGCUUGGUGUUGGGUGUUUGUCUCGCCUUUGCGUGUAGACUCGCCUUAAAAUAAUUGGCAGCCGGCGUAUUGAUUUCGGAGCGCAGUACAUCUCGCGCUUUGCACUCAUAACGACAGCGUCCAAAAGUACAUUUUUACACUCUUGACCUCGGAUCAGGUAGGGAUACCCGCUGAACUUAAGCAUAUCAAUAAGCGGAGGA